rnacentral:snRNA from 1 species
UGUUCCUUCGGUGGCAGUACAUAGAAAUCUGAGCAAUACAGAGAAGAUUAACAUGGUCCUGAGAAAGGAUGGCAAACAGAUUUGUGGAGCAUUCUGUACUAUU